rnacentral:rRNA from 1 species
UAGGGAAUCUUCGGCAAUGGGGGCAACCCUGACCGAGCAACGCCGCGUGAGUGAAGAAGAUUUCGGAUCGUAAAGCUCUGUUGUAAGAGAAGAACGUGUGUGAGAGUGGAAAGUUCACACAGUGACGGUAACUUACCAGAAAGGGACGGCUAACUACGUGCCCG